AUGAGCACCAACCCAGAGCGCGUCCGGGAGAUGGCCGCAUAUGCUGAAAGAUUAGGCGUGCCCCGGGGUUCUGGGAUGUAUAGAACUGCGCUACAUGCCGUCGCAUUCCUCAGCGAGGAGAAGAUCACCAACAAAGUGGACUACCUGAAGAAGAUGUUCAGCUGGUCUGAUGCUGAGGUUGUCAUGGCUUUGUCUAAAGCUCCAAUGCUGCUGAAGAGGUCAAAGGACAUCCUGCGGCGCAGGUUCGAGUUCCUUGUCUCUGAGGUGGGUUUGGAACCGGCCUACAUUGCUCAUCGGCCGGUAAUGCUCUAUUAUAGCCUGGAGGAUCGGCUCAUGCCCCGGUGCUAUGUUCUAAAGUUCCUCAAGGAAAAUGGAUUGGUAGAUCACGACCUGAGCUUCUCUAGUGCACUCUCAAUUCAGGAAAAGUAUUUCAUGGAGAAGUACAUACGCCCUCACAACGAAGCUGCGCCACACCUCGCCGAUGACUAUGCAGCCGCUUGUAAAGGGGAGGUGCCAGCUAGUUUCAGAUUUACUUGA
rnacentral:rRNA from 1 species